ensembl:lncRNA
AUGCGACUGUCACCUGGGAUGGCGACAUCAAUGAUUCAAACCUUUUUAUUUUUCACAACUGUGAUGUCUGGUGUGUUGUGUUCCAGAACUUUGUCAGUCUGGAUUCGGAAGUCCCACAUGGCCCAAAUGAUUCCUUGGAACUUAUGCCUCAAGUACCACCUCCCAGCAGCAAAGAACUGGUGGGACCACAAACCUGCAAAAGUAUUGGAAAAUGAGCAUGCAAAGAUACUGUGGGACUUCCGAAUCCAGACUGACAAAGUUCUGGAACACAACACACCAGACAUCACAGUUGUGGAAAAGAAAAAGGUUUGGAUCAUUGAUGUCGCCAUCCCAGGUGACAGUCGCAUUGACGAAAAACAACAGGAAAAACUCAGCCGCUAUCAGGACCUCAAGAUUGAACUUCAAAGACUCUGGCAGAAACCAGUGCAGGUGGUCCCGGUGGUGAUCAGCAUAUUGGGUGCUGUGCCAAAAGAUCUCGGCUGGCAUUUGGAAACAAUAGACAUUGACAAAAUUAUGAUCUGUCAACUGCAAAAGGCCACCCUACUGCGAUCUGCGUGCAUCAUCCGAAAAUACAUCACACAGUCCUAAACACUUGGGAAGUGUUCAACUUGUGAUUUUGUGAUACGAAAUCCAGCAUGUCUAUCUUGUUUGCUAUGACAUAAUAAAAUAAUAACUUUAUUUUUAUAUCCUGCCUCCAUUUCCGUUACAGGGGGCCAAGCCAAGUAAUCACAAUAAAAACAGAAUAAAAUACAUUCAUGAACACAACAUCAUUAAAACAAAGCAAGCACAUUUGUACACAAUAACAUGGUAAUAAAAUAAAAUAAAGGCCAGCGAUUAAAAAAUCCAUAAUAUCUGCUUUCAACUGGGUAAUCUGAGUCCACGCUGCCAUAUAAUCCAGUUCAAUGUGGAUUUUAUACAGCUGUAUGAAAGGGGCCUAAGAGGUCAACCAUUCUACUGAAUCCAUCCUAAAACAGACAUGGUUGCAAAGAAGUAAUAGCCUCCUUGAGAACAGAACUAACCAGCUCCCUUUCACACUACACCGUUAAAACACUAUGAUUCCAUUUUAGCCACCACGGGUCCAUCAUAUGUAAUUCUGGGAUUUGCAGUGUAGGAAGGACUAUCUAUAUUCAGCCGCCCAGGAAACAGCUGAAGCAAGAUGCACAAACAGUUCGUUUUUCAUUUGUAAAGCUGGCAACACAGACAUACAUAGACAGAACAGGAGAAUCACCUUGGGAUUCCUUAGAGGACAUAAUAUAAAAGGUUAAAAAAAUAUUGAUUUCAUUGUUUCUCUUGAUUGUACAGCCCUCAUUUCAGAGACUGUAACCUACUUUGAUGAAAAAAUGAAGAACAGGAAUAUUUGAAUAAAGAAGCCAAUCAUUCGUGGGGCCUUGCAGACCCACAUAAAUGCUUUUUCGGGUCUCCUUCCACUGAAGCUUAUGCAAGAACAUUUUCUGGUGGAUUGGCCCCAAAGCCUUAAUCACUAAUCACUUUCCAUAAGCUUUUGGCCACAGCUAGAACUAUAACCUUUUUUUUUUUUUUUUUUGCUUUGCAAAUGUUCAGUCUGAAUUGCUUCCCCUCCCCUGCUUUGUACAGCUGGAAACCCAGCAGGUGGAAUCCAAAGAGAAAUUCAUGAAAUGUUAAUUUAACCAAAAGAGGGGGGAAAUCCACUGCAGAACAUUUAAAAAUCAUUCAGUAAAAUGUGCCCUGUUUUGAUUAGAACCGGCACUUGCCAGAAAGCUCUUGAGACUGAAUUCAACCAGCUUGUGUUUCCUCAAGUUUUAAACUUUAUGGCUGAGACUGAGAAAGCUGACUUAGCUCUCUGCAUGAGAAGAUGCUUCUGCGGGUCAAAC